rnacentral:rRNA from 1 species
AAAGGUGACAGCACGUUGAAUGUACCAGUUCCUGAUGGAUCACUGGAGUUAAGCAACGUUGCGCGUGGUUAGUAUCCGGAUGGGUGACCAUCUGGGCAAUCGCCCGGUGCUGGCUUUU